rnacentral:rRNA from 1 species
AUUGAACGCUGGCGGCAGGCCUAACACAUGCAAGUCGAACGAGUGGCGGACGGGUGAGUAAUGCUUGGGAAUCUGGCUUAUGGAGGGGGAUAACGACGGGAAACUGUCGCUAAUACCGCGUACCAUAGGAUGAGCCCAAGUGGGAUUAGGUAGUUGGUGGGGUAAUGGCCUACCAAGCCGACGAUCUCUAGCUGGUCUGAGAGGAUGACCAGCCACACCGGAACUGAGACACGGCCCUGACUCCUACGGGAGGCAGCAGUGGGGAAUAUUGCGCAAUGGGGGCAACCUGACGCAGCCAUGCCGCGUGAAUGAAGAAGGCCUUCGGGUUGUAAAGUACUUUCGGGGAGGAGGCGUUACUCGCAGAAGAAGCACCGGCUAACUCCGUGCCAGCCGCCGCGGUAAUUC